UUCUUUUGUCCAUUGUCUUCUCUCUCUGAGGUAGGCUGAGAACCCUAACCCAUCUGAGGAGCAAAACAGAGAUACGAAACAAGAAGGAGGGCGAUGGCGGCAAGGCAAGGCGAUGCGGUGUGAUGCGGCGGCGGAGGUGAGGCGAGGCGAGGCGACGGUAUUAAGGUCCCAUAAAAAUGAUGUUCUGUUUAUUCAAUUUUCACAUAAUGGGGAAUUCUUGACCUCGACAUCAAGAGAUUGUACUACCAUUAUAUAGAAGGUGCCCAACCAAGGUAAUUUGACAGUGGAACAUACUCUAUGCAGCCAUGAAAAUCCUGUUUCUUUUCUCUCUAUAGUCUUGAUGACUCCGUGAUAACGACGAAAUGGACUAUUUGCAUAUGGAUUGCUGCUUCUCAUAUCAACUACGAUUUAUCGUCAUCAAUUCAUUUCAUGAUCAAGCGUUGUCGAUGCCGAUCUCCGAGCAUGUUUCGUUCAAUUUAUUGAUUCUAACUAGUUGAAACAAUCUUCUGAUGAUAUUCAUGUGAAACGAAGCAAUUUUGGAAAAUAUCAUUUUCAAAGUUUUUAUUUCUC